GCUCGCGAAGAUCUUUAUAGCGUGCUUAACAAUAAUAAUUUAUUUUUAGCUUCUGUUCGGGAAUAUCUGCUCUGUUGUAAAUGUUUUUAAUGUUUUAUAAUCGGUCAUUGGCGUUCGCGAUCGUCUGAGGUAUAAAUGUAUCAAGUAAGCUGUAAAUAAGUGAUCCAUCGACAGACAUAUACGCACGUCCUUUCUUAUCAGUGGUGCGAUUUAUUUAUCAGCUAUGCAUCUUCUGGAAAUUGCUAACAACUAUUUUAAUUUUCGUUUAGGACUGUGGCUGCAUCACUGGCAUAAUUGCACAAGAAAGGCACACGUGUCGUUCAGUUUUGAGUUCGCUGGAAAAUCAUACUGUGACCGAAUACACCACUCUUGCCUUCACCUGCAUCUCUCACAGUAAGGGGACGCUCGUUCAGUUUUCAACUCCAUUCAGAAUCUUAGAAUGUGAGAAUAACAGUGUAAAAGAACCUGUUGCAAAGAGAGCCAAAGCAAAGCAGCCCACUUGGUCAUGGAAAUGGGGAUUCCUGCCUGCACAAGAACCUGGACCACAGCUAAGACCAUGUGAUGCACACACUCCCAUGAGUUAUUUUAUGUGAU